rnacentral:rRNA from 1 species
AUUGAACGCUGGCGGCAUGCUUUACACAUGCAAGUCGAGCGGCAGCGCGGGGGCAACCCUGGCGGCGAGCGGCGAACGGGUGAGUAAUGCAUCGGAACGUAUCCUCGAGUGGGGGAUAACCCAGCGAAAGUUGGGCUAAUACCGCAUGAGCUCUGAGGAGGAAAGCGGGGGACCUGCGAGUGCCUCGCGCUGGAGGAGCGGCCGAUGUCCGAUUAGCUAGUUGGUGGGGUAAGGGCUUACCAAGGCGACGAUCGGUAGCUGGUCUGAGAGGAUGAUCAGCCACACUGGGACUGAGACACGGCCCAGACUCCUACGGGAGGCAGCAGUGGGGAAUUUUGGACAGUGGGGGCAACCCUGAUCCAGCCAUGCCGCGUGAGUGAAGAAGGCCUUCGGGUUGUAAAGCUCUUUCGGACGGAACGAAAUGGGCGGGACUAAUACUCCUGUCUGAUGACGGUACCGUAAGAAGAAGCACCGGCUAACUACGUG